rnacentral:rRNA from 1 species
UAUUAGUGGGGGACAACAUCUCGAAAGGGAUGCUAAUACCGCAUACGUCCUACGGGAGAAAGCAGGGGAUCUUCGGACCUUGCGCUAAUAGAUGAGCCUAAGUCGGAUUAGCUAGUUGGUGGGGUAAAGGCCUACCAAGGCGACGAUCUGUAGCGGGUCUGAGAGGAUGAUCCGCCACACUGGGACUGAGACACGGCCCAGACUCCUACGGGAGGCAGCAGUGGGGAAUAUUGGACAAUGGGGGGAACCCUGAUCCAGCCAUGCCGCGUGUGUGAAGAAGGCCUUAUGGUUGUAAAGCACUUUAAGCGAGGAGGAGGCUACUUUAGUUAAUACCUAGAGAUAGUGGACGUUACUCGCAGAAUAAGCACCGGCUAACUCUGUGCCAGCAGCCGCGGUAAUACAGAGGGUGCGAGCGUUAAUCGGAUUUACUGGGCGUAAAGCGUGCGUAGGCGGCUUAUUAAGUCGGAUGUGAAAUCCCCGAGCUUAACUUGGGAAUUGCAUUCGAUACUGGUGAGCUAGAGUAUGGGAGAGGAUGGUAGAAUUCCAGGUGUAGCGGUGAAAUGCGUAGAGAUCUGGAGGAAUACCGAUGGCGAAGGCAGCCAUCUGGCCUAAUACUGACGCUGAGGUACGAAAGCAUGGGGAGCAAACAGGAUUAGAUACCCUGGUAGUCCAUGCCGUAAACGAUGUCUACUAGCCGUUGGGGCCUUUGAGGCUUUAGUGGCGCAGCUAACGCGAUAAGUAGACCGCCUGGGGAGUACGGUCGCAAGACUAAAACUCAAAUGAAUUGACGGGGGCCCGCACAAGCGGUGGAGCAUGUGGUUUAAUUCGAUGCAACGCGAAGAACCUUACCUGGGCCUUGACAUACUAGAAACUUUCCAGAGAUGGAUUGGUGCCUUCGGGAAUCUAGAUACAGUGCUGCAUGGCUGUCGUCAGCUCGUGUCGUGAGAUGUUGGGUUAAGUCCCGCAACGAGCCGCAACCCUUUUCCUUACUUGCCAGCAUUUCGAUGGGAACUUUAAGGAU